CCUGCCUCAGCCUCCCGAGUAUCUGGUACUACAGGUGCCCGCCCCGAGGCCCAGAUAAUUUUUUGGUAUUUUUAGUAGAGACGGGGUUUCUACAUGUUAGCCAGGAUGGUCUCCAUCUCCUGACCUCGUGAUCUGCUUGCCUCGGCCUCCUGAAGUGCUGGGAUUACAGGCGUGAGCCACCGCACCUGGCAUAAAGGACAUUUUUAAACCUGAUGAGAGACCAGAAGCACAGAGAGCUUAUGCAACUUGCCCAAAGUCACAUAGCUAAAUGGUAGAGCUGGGAUUUAGCUCAUACAGACUGAAUCCAGAGAUAGAACUCCACACUAUGCCUCACUAUACUGCUUUGCCUCACCAUUGGUUGAAUGCUUGAAGAAAGAAGAAAUUUGGAAUCUAUGUCAAGAGAAAAUUGAAAAGAGCAAUAUUUACAGAAAGAAAGCCAAGGGCUGGGCACAGUGGCUCACAUCUAUAAUCCCAGCACUUUGUGGGGUCAAGGUGGGAGGAUUGCUUGAGCCCAAGAGGUCAGGGCUCCAGUGAGCCAUGAUGGUGCCGCUGCACUCCAGCCAGGACAACAGAGUAAGAUCCUGUCUUGAAAAAUAAAAAAAUUAAAAAAAAAGGAAGAAAGGAAGAAAUGCAAAUGAACAAUAUGUUUCUAGAUAUUCCAUGCAUAGUUAAUGUAGUACAAAUGUUGCCACUGCAUGAAAUGUAGUGACAAAAACCUAGGUUGAUUUGGAUACCUAACUUAAAAGGAUUUUGCUCCUUUGCUAAAAUAAAUAAAUAAUAAAUAAAACAAUCAAAUUGUGAGGCUGGGUGUAGC
rnacentral:lncRNA from 1 species